rnacentral:rRNA from 1 species
AUUGAACGCUGGCGGCAUGCCUUACACAUGCAAGUCGAACGGUAACAGGUCUUCGGAUGCUGACGAGUGGCGAACGGGUGAGUAAUACAUCGGAACGUGCCUAGUAGUGGGGGAUAACUACUCGAAAGAGUGGCUAAUACCGCAUGAGAUCUACGGAUGAAAGCAGGGGAUCGCAAGACCUUGUGCUACUAGAGCGGCCGAUGGCAGAUUAGGUAGUUGGUGGGAUAAAAGCUUACCAAGCCGACGAUCUGUAGCUGGUCUGAGAGGACGAUCAGCCACACUGGGGCUGAGAAACGGCCCAGACUCCUACGGGAGGCAGCAGUGGGGAAUUAUGGACAAUGGGCGAAAGCCUGAUCCAGCAAUGCCGCGUGCAGGAUGAAGGCCUUCAGGUUGUAAACUGCUUUUGUACGGAACGAAAAGCCCCGGGUUAAUACCCUGGGGUCAUGACGGUACCGUAAGAAUAAGCACCGGCUAACUACGUGCCAGCCGCCGCCGUAA